rnacentral:tRNA from 1 species
GAGGGUAUAGCUCAGAGGUAGAGCUUUUGCUUAGCAUUUACAAGGUCCUGGGUUCAAUUCCCAGUACCUCUG